rnacentral:lncRNA from 1 species
GCGAUUAAUGCCGUCCAACGAUUAUUUCUCCCUGAUGCAUUGGAGCAUGGAGGUAUUCUGUGUGUGUGCAUGAUUGGCAUCUUAAUCGUUUUGUGGCCAAAUGCUACCUGAUCAAUCCGGAGUGCGUUCCUUCUGCUCCUUUGACGGGUAGGGAUGAGAGCAGCGAUGUUCCAGCAGACGGUCACGCUACAGCUCCGCUAAAGUUACCAGCUUCUCCCAGGGGGACUGGGAGAGGGAGGACUAGGGGAGAGAGGGGUGUGCGUGAGUGCGAGGCGAGGUGCAUGAGGUACCGUUACUGUGCAUGCCCACAGAAAUGCCAGAGCCCCAGGGAUCAUUAAAGAUGCUCAGAUAGGAGGUGGACAUGAAGCAGAUGCUCCCAGUGUGAAAGACCAGCAGCAAUCAUAACAGCGCGCACCACCAUAGGCUCUGGCUGAAUUGGAGAAGAAAACAGAUCGUAAUCAUAUCACGACAGUGUGCGACUCUGGUGGCUCAUUUCUGGUGUGUUUUGGCAUGGUGACUAAGAAGAAGCCUAAGCAGUUGGUGAGGCCAAAACCAUAGCACUCAUGGAAAUCACAGAGGCAGUUCACACCGAGGACAUGUUGCAGUUCACACCGAGAACAUGUUGCAGUUCACACCGAGGACAACUGGGACUCCUUCAUCUGAGCAGAACCUUGGAAGAAGAAACACUGCAGUGACCGCCAUGGAGACCUCUACACCUUUCUUAGCUGCCUACAAUACCUACAAGGGUGUCUGCAGGUUGUUAUAAAUACCUGCCCAAAUUAUUCUCCAGUCCAUAGAGAAAGUCUUCAACACAAUCCCAAGCUGCUUAAGACUCUGAGUAUACAGGACCCGUCUCCAAAAUCUAAUGGGGCUACUGGAAUCCAUAUAAAGCACGCCACAUAUAAUACAACCGGAAGGCUGCUGAAUCUGAAAUGCUUUAAAACAUGGCCAAGAAUAGACUGUAACUCCUCUGCCCACAUUUUGGAAGAUACUGGAUGGACAUCUAGAACAUGCAGUAAGGUGUCGGGGAAUCAGAUUAGACCAACAUUGAUUGGACAAUGAUUAUGAAAGAUAACAGAUAGAUUGAAUGGAUAUGCAGACCUUAUUAUAUGAUUAUCACAAGACAUGCUUCCACAUUGUUUUCUGCAUGUGGAGUUCUGAAUGCAUACAACAUUAUUUGUAUUUCUUUCAUUCAGCUAGUGUUUCUAACUUGCAUGAUUCAGUAGGUAAGACUUAAUUUAGAACACAAGUUUCCCUACUCCACAGACAAACAAGCCGUUUCAAAGGCAAAAUGCUAGCCCUGAGUCUCAGUGGAACUGAGCCGGUACCGAGAGACUGCACAUCUCACCUCAACCGUACAGACUGUAUUCACUCUGUCUGCUCAGAUGAAGUAAAUAACCUCUAAACUGUCUGGCUGGGUAGAAAAUGAAUUGUAUUCUUGGUUCAGCAUUAUUUCUUGUUAUAGUCAGUAUCGAAAUAUAAUUACAGUGGAACACCCACACAGUCUGACAUUUUAUUGUUACCUAACCCACCAUUACGAUGUGCCCUUUGCCGCCUUGGAAAAAACAACAGCAAAACACCACCUUUUGAAAUAAAGGCAGUAAAUAAUUGAAGUCACUAUAUCUGCACAUUUCCACUAAAUCUCUAGCAGCACCUAGAGGUCAUUGAGGCAUUACAUCACCUGCGUCACGCUGCCUUGGACCAGACAUGUGAAAUACAUGUGGUGUGUGAUAACAAUCAAGAUUUGUCUGGGACUAUGUGAGGUCAAGCACCCUUUAUAAUUGGCCUCUAACAAACUGGUGUAGAGAGAGCGUAUCCAUGUAAAGGGCGCAACCAGGAAAUGGUACAGUCAUAUUCUUUAGGCUAC